AUUGAACGCUGGCGGCAGGCCUAACACAUGCAAGUCGAGCGGAUGAAGGGAGCUUGCUCCUGGAUCCAGCGGCGGACGGGUGAGUAAUGCCUAGGAAUCUGCCUGGUAGUGGGGGAUAACGUCCGGAAACGGGCGCUAAUACCGCAUACGUCCUGAGGGUGAAAGUGGGGGAUCUUCGGACCUCACGCUAUCAGAUGAGCCUAGGUCGGAUUAGCUAGUUGGUGGGGUAAAGGCCUACCAAGGCGACGAUCCGUAACUGGUCUGAGAGGAUGAUCAGUCACACUGGAACUGAGACACGGUCCAGACUCCUACGGGAGGCAGCAGUGGGGAAUAUUGGACAAUGGGCGAAAGCCUGAUCCAGCCAUGCCGCGUGUGUGAAGAAGGUCUUCGGAUUGUAAAGCACUUUAAGUUGGGAGGAAGGGCAGUAAGUUAAUACCUUGCUGUUUUGACGUUACCAACAGAAUAAGCACCGGCUAACUUCGUG
rnacentral:rRNA from 1 species